UCGCCGCCGACGACGUCGCGAGAAGUCCACUGAACCUUAUCAUUUAGAGGAAGGAGAAGUCGUAACAAGGUUUCCGUAGGUGAACCUGCGGAAGGAUCAUUGUCGAUGCCUGCAAAGCAGAACGACCCGCGAACCGUUUCUCAACACCCGGGGCACAGGAGGGCGUUUAGCUGCUCGGUGUCCCGACGCUUCGGACGUUGAGGGUGCGAGCCACCCCCGGCAGAUGGAGCAUCAAACACACCCCGGCGUGCAAAGCGCCAAGGUACUCCAACGGUAGGGCAAGCACCCGUAGGCCUGGACUCCAGCGCGUUCGGGUGUCUGUUCGGUGUCAUAAAUCUAAACGACUNNNGUGUGAAUUGCAGAAUCCCGUGAACCAUCGAGUCUUUGAACGCAAGUUGCGCCCGAAGCCUUGGCUGAGGGCACGCCUGCCUGGGUGUCACGCAKCACGUUGCCUCCAAAACCUUUCCCCUCGUAACAUUGUGGUGGAUGGUUUGGACGCGGAAGGUGGCCUCCCGUGACCACGAGCCACGGAUGGCCCAAAUAUGUGCUGGGGAAGCGAAGCGCCACGGCGUUCGGUGGUCGGCAUAGCCCCCUGAGGCAAUGAAGCCCGUGGUAGCCGCGAGAGUCCCCGGUCUACGACCCUAAUCAUUAACCAAUGCGACCUCAGGUCAGGCGGGGCUACCCGCUGAGUUUAAGCAUAUCAAUAAGCGGAGG
rnacentral:rRNA from 1 species